rnacentral:rRNA from 1 species
GACGAACGCUGGCGGCGUGCUUAACACAUGCAAGUCGAACGGUGAAGGGACCGGUUUUUGCUGGUUCUGGAUGAGUGGCGAACGGGUGAGUAACACGUGAGUAACCUGCCCCCUUCUUCUGGAUAACCGCAUGAAAGUGUGGCUAAUACGGGAUAUUCUGCGCCUGCUGCAUGGUGGGUGUGGGAAAGAUAUUGUUUCGGUGGGGGAUGGGCUCGCGGCCUAUCAGCUUGUUGGUGGGGUGAUGGCCUACCAAGGCGGUGACGGGUAGCCGGCCUGAGAGGGUGGACGAUCACACUGGGACUGAGACACGGCCCAGACUCCUACGGGAGGCAGCAGUGAGGAAUAUUGCACAAUGGGCGCAAGCCUGAUGCAGCGACGCCGCGUGAGGGAUGGAGGCCUUCGGGUUGUAAACCUCUUUCGCCAGUGAAGCAGGCCUGUCCCUUUUGUGGGUGGGUUGACGGUAGCUGGAUAAGAAGCGCCGGCUAACUACGUG